rnacentral:rRNA from 1 species
UACAGAGGUCCCAAGCGUUGUUCGGAUUCACUGGGCGUAAAGGGUGCGUAGGCGGUCGGGUAAGUCUGAUGUGAAAUCUCACAGCUUAACUGUGAAACUGCAUUGGAUACUAUCCGGCUCGAGGAAUGGAGGGGGAGACUGGAAUACUUGGUGUAGCAGUGAAAUGCGUAGAUAUCAAGUGGAACACCAGUGGCGAAGGCGAGUCUCUGGACAUUUCCUGACGCUGAGGCACGAAAGCCAGGGGAGCAAACGGG